GCUAUCUGCAGCGGAAGGAGAGCGCGCGAGCAAGGCGCUGUCCAAUCAGCUCUCGAAGGUAGGGCGGGACCUUUCGCGCCUCCGCCCCGGGGUUGGCGGACUGGAGAAGGAGCGAAGAUGGCGGAGUGAGGCGUGCCCCGGGCAGCCGGCCUCCGGGCCCCGGGCGGGCCUCGCUCGAGAGGCGAGGUGCUUCUGCUGGACUUAGUGAGUCCUCCACGAUUGCACUGGCGCGGGCUGCGCCUGGAAGCCGCUGUGUCCAUCACCCGUUUAUUUUUCGAAGAAUAUCUCCGUAUCGUUUUUAACAUCGUUUUUAACAGUGACCUAUUAGCGAAGGCGUCAUCAGUCAAGGUAACAAUGAGGCCUGUUGCAGCUCUGGGUGUUUGGUGUCCCCAGCGCAUUGACCUUGAGAUUGGCGGUAACAGGCACCCCCUGGUAUUUUCAUACGAGAAUGUGUAUCGCCGAUAGGCGCGUGUAACCUUUAUCUCAUACUCGCACCCGCCAAACUUUUAUGACCAUAGUAAGCAGGGUUGUUCUCCCUGAUAAUGUCCUUAGGCGCAUUAAUUUCGGCUGACAGGUCUCAGUGGAAUUCACAGUUGUUGGUUUCUUGCCCAGAAUUAAGGGAAACGAUAUACGAUGCUUUUUAAAAAAAUUUUUUUUCUAAUUUAUUUUUAAGAACUGUAGUUUUGGAAAUAGUGUUGGAAUAUCAUUUGUGUUGCUGGUGUGAAUACAAAGUAAUUAGUACUGUCAGAUAUUUAUAUGCGGUUCUUAUUUAAUUUUAUGA
rnacentral:lncRNA from 1 species